GAGAUUUUGAGGGGUCCAAGAACACCUAGCCCCCCUGGAGUUGGUGUGCUUGGAGCCAUUCCGGACUGGUUGCAAGAAGGCAGACAGGAGGAAGCUGGCUGAGGGCAGACUAAGGUGGGUGGAUCAGUGCCCUAAUAGGCGUGCCUCCACCUUCCACUGGUGAGAAACCAAUCCUUUAUAUCUGCACACCAUUAGAUCUAGUUCAGGGCCCAUACCCCCAGUCCCCCCUCCUCAAUUUCCCCUCACCUGAGAGUAUCCCCUGCUCUAUUAUUCAUGCAUUUUUUCUUCUUCUCCUCCUCCUCUAAAACCUGUCUGCAUGCCAAAUUACCUUUGUCAAUCUGAAGUUAAAAAUAUAAUGAGUGAUUUAGGCAGCUCCAACAAUUGAUAGGAUUUGACCUGCUGAUUUUGAAAGGUCAAUGGAACACAUUUUUUUAAUAUAAAAAUGUCCAGAUAAGUAGGCUCUUUUUGUAUGCGAAAUGCCAUUGCUUCCGUCCCUUGAUUACAAGGCGAGGCGUCCUGUAAAAGGUUACUUUUAGAGAAGGAAGCCAUACAGCCUCUCCAGGUGGCUAUUCAAUUUUAAUUUUGCCUUGACACUUGUCUGUACCAUUCUAGCGUUCUCCAUUGUGGAAUCUUUUAAUGCCGUAUCACUGACUGAUGUGUACUUGGGAGGUAAUGAAAAUCCACCUCAUUUUUUUUUUUUAUGUAGGUAGAAAUAUGACCUUUAGGGCACCUCAUAUAAUCCAGACAGAUUGUGGCUGCACUGAUCUCCAAUUUGUGUUAUGUUUUUAUGGGCAAGAAUUCAUCAUCAUAAUAGAAGAGGGAAGUGGAGAAUGGAGGGCAAAAUGCUUUAAUAAUCCUGUUUAGGUUUCGGCCAGUGUUUAAGUUAGAUGAGAAAGCUCACAGCUCUCCAGUAAUGGGCUUACCUGGUGGUUACUUUUACAUAUAUCAACCCCAAGGAAAAGGCUCUCAUUUCGCCUUUCUUUUCUUUUAAUUUAGAGAUGGAUGGAUCUGCCAAUUUCAGUUUCUCUCAGUUUCCUAUUUCUCCAAUCUCAGGUUCAGCUCAGCUCAUUUCCGUGGCAGUUUGUGUGGUG